GUGGGCAAAAAGAACAUGCCAACUGCAUAGUUCCCAGGUGGCGGCAGCUCGAACCCAAUAUCCUUAGCAACCUCCUUGCAGAAAUCGUGAGGAAGGGCGACAAGAAUCCCAGCUCCAUCACCGGUAUUCGUUUCACACCCACAAGCACCUCUAUGCGACAUGCGUGUCAACAUCUCCAGUGCAUCGGUCACUGUUUUACGGCUGCUGUCACCAGAUAAAUCAGCCACGAAUCCGACCCCACAAGAGUCCUUAUCAAAUGACGGAUCAUAAAGACCAAGGGGUUUCUCCGGCACUCCGGACAAUGCGGAACGAACCACAACGCGAAGCUUUGGGGACCGUCCGGGACCAUCCGAUUGCCAUAAAUGAAGCCUCUCCGUUCCAGGAGCCCACAGUUUGGUUCCGAAGAAAUGCUUCUCCACCACAGUCGAUUUCUUGGCAGCAGAGCAUCUUGUAGUUCUGUUAUUCCGGCGAGAUAAGGGAGCAAUAACAUUCAAUUUAGGCGAAAUGGAAGGUUUACUGAUGGUUGAAAGAGCAGAUGAGUGAGCUCGGGGCUUCAGGAGAGAGUUGUAUGUCGUCGACAUUAUUAACUAACCAGGAGGCUAACAGAAAUGCUCCGGGUUUUUUUUUUAAAAACAAAAGAUAAUAGAUAGAGAUGAAAGCCCCAAAAUUUGGCGAACUUUACGGGUUCGAACAACUGUUCUNGUUCGAACAACUGUUCUUUUUUUCUUAUAGAAAUUUGUUUCUAUCAAUCAGAACUCUGUUUUUGAGCUCUGUAUAUGAAAUUCCAGCAGAUAUGAAACACAGAGUUUCAGAUCAGAAACCUUAUAUCAGAGAUCUGCAAGAGCUCUUUAUCUAUCUACAGCUUUUAGGAGAUUUUGAAGC
rnacentral:misc_RNA from 1 species